GAUGAACGCUGGCGGCGUGCUUAACACAUGCAAGUCGAACGGGAAACCUUUUAUUGAAGCUUCGGCAGAUUUAGCUGGUUUCUAGUGGCGGACGGGUGAGUAACGCGUGGGUAACCUGCCUUAUACAGGGGGAUAACAACCAGAAAUGGUUGCUAAUACCGCAUAAGCGCACAGGACCGCAUGGUCCGGUGUGAAAAACUCCGGUGGUAUAAGAUGGACCCGCGUUGGAUUAGCUAGUUGGCAGGGUAACGGCCUACCAAGGCGACGAUCCAUAGCCGGCCUGAGAGGGUGAACGGCCACAUUGGGACUGAGACACGGCCCAGACUCCUACGGGAGGCAGCAGUGGGGAAUAUUGCACAAUGGGGGAAACGCUGAUGCAGCGACGACGCGUGAAGGAAGAAGUAUCUCGGUAUGUAAACUUCUAUCAGCAGGGAAGAUAGUGACGGUACCUGACUAAGAAGCCCCGGCUAACUACGUG
rnacentral:rRNA from 1 species